AUGGAGGCGGUGGGCGGCGCCGCGGAGGAGCGGUGGGCGUCGCUUUGCAACUGCGUGGUCAACUUCCUGCUGGAGGAGAAGUACCACCUCACGGCGCUCGAGCUGCUACAGGAGCUGCAGGAGGACGGCCGCCACGCGCAGGCGCUCCGCCUCCGCUCAUUCUUCUCCGACCCCGCCUUCUUUCCCCCCGACCUGGUCGCUCGCGCCUCCUCCUCACCGCCGGGUCUGUGUGAUGAAUCAUGUCUGUUCUUUUUUACAGGUGCUGAUCCACAGAGUUUGCUAGAAGAGAAAAUUGCAGCAGAAGAAAAGUUGGCACUCACUGAGUAUGAUCUCCGACUAGCCAAGGAAGACCUUACUUGCUUGAAGCUUGAGUUGCAAAAGCAACAAGAAUCAUCUCCUGAUAAUACAAUUGGGCCUCUUUCAGAUGCUUCUGCACAUGAAGGAUUCAACCAACAGGACCAACGAGAUGUCAAAAUUUCAGCAUUAGGCCCUCUGAAAGAUAAUGAACGGAAAGAUCUGAACUGUGCUGUAAAGGAAUACCUGCUUUUGGCUGGGUAUCGACUUGCAGCCAUGACUUUCAUUGAGGAGGUUCUUGAUCAGGAUCUUGAUGUUUGGACUAACAGUUCAGCUUGUGUGCCUGAUGCCCUUCGUCGUUAUUACUACCAGUAUCUUUCAUCUACCACUGAGGCGGCUGAGCCGAAGGCCGAGCCGGCGCUCCUUCCCGUGAAGGAGUACGAGGCCAUGGCCGCCGACGAGGAGACCGGCCUCCCAUGGGCGCGGGACGACUAUGUCCGGCAGGAGAUGGAGCGCCAGCGCCGCACCCUCGAGGAUAUCGUCGCGCCCUCAAGGAGAUCAUCGCCUGGCGCUGCGGCCGCGAGGAGGGCGUCGUCGUCAUCCACAACGACAGCGACGACGAGACGCCCGAGCCGUCCAACCCCAUCCGCCACGACGACCCAGGGCAGAGGUGCAACAAGGACGGCGGCGAUGACGACGGCGGUGACUACACCAACUUCUACAGGCUCCUUGGCAUGUAGAAGGCUCGGGCGGCGGCGGGCGGCAUAG
rnacentral:rRNA from 1 species